rnacentral:rRNA from 1 species
UCGCUACUACCGAUUGAAUGAUUUAGUGAGUUUCAUGAACUGCUGGCUCUGGUUGGAAACUUCCUCUGCCGGCGGGAAAUGAUGCAAACUUGACCAUUUAGAGGAAGUAA